rnacentral:rRNA from 1 species
UACCCGCAGCUCGAGUGGUGGUCGCUUUUAUUGAGCCUAAAACGUUCGUAGUCGGCCUUGUAAAUCCCUGGGUAAAUUGGGCCGCCUAACGGUUCAAAUUCCGGGGAGACUGCAAGGCUAGGGACCGGGCGAGGUCAGAGGUACUUUCGGGGUAGGAGUGGAAUCCUGUAAUCCCGAAGGGACCACCUGUGGCGAAAGCGUCUGACUUGAACGGCUCCGACGAUGAAGAACGAAGGCUAGGGGAGCAAACCGG